UUUUUCAAGAGAAAAAAAAAACCAAAAACUCUUUCUUUCCCCCUUUUCAUUUUCAUUUCUCUGAAACAAACCUCUCUCUCACCAAGUUCAAGUGAGAAAGCUCAUGUUUCGCCCUCUGAGUACUCGUCCCCCUCCUUUUUUCCAUGGCCUAAACGAGAAACCUGAGGGGUUUCGUGGCCCUCUUGGAUUGGGGAAUCUCCAAUGGGGGCGGGACGCGAAGAAUAGGUAAGUUUUCAGCCCCUCUUUUGUUUUUUAUUUUUAUUUUUUUAAAAGAUUUAACACAGAAAAUAAAAAAAUCUAAAGAAAGAAAAAAAAACCAAGGAAAGAAAAUAUGAAAACAACCUUUUUUGUUCUCUUUUUUAUUAAUAAUCUGUGUAAUACAACCCCUUUUUUGUAUUUGAAAACAAAACCCCUUUUUUGUUUAUUGAUUUGCAGUAAAUUUGAAAGGAAACUAAGAAGAAGUUAAAACGAAAUGAAAACAAAUAAAAUGAAAUCGAAGAUCCACCUUUUUGCGUUUUUUCUCUUGAUUGCUAAUGUUUUUUUUUUUUGGAUUUUUUUGCUGGAAUUUUUUGCUCUUUUUUUUUUCAAAUGGGAGAAUCCUCUUUUUUUUUUUUGUGUUCCUUUUUCGUUUCUACCGUUUUGCUUGUUUUUUUAUGCCAUUUGCAAGUAGUGGGUGAAGAAGGAACAACUAUCCAUGUUUUUGGCCUGAAAAUCUGGGAAGUGAGUGUCUCAAAUCACGUAAUCUGUCUGAAGGACCAAAUCACAAAUGCAACAAAACUUCUAGGGCUAAAUGUAAUUUUUAGAAAAUUUAGGGUUAAAAUGUAAUUUAAGGAAAGUUUAGGGGUCUAAGAUGUAAUUUUUUUAAAAUUUUUUAUUUUUUAUUUUAUUUUUUGAAAUUUUGGAACUUAAACACGAAUUCUAGUCGGACAAAAAUUUAGUGCUUACAAAAAGUAUUAAUAAUUAAAUUCAAAUUUUAAAAUUUAAAAAAAAAUAAGGGAUUAAAUUCCUCAAAUUAAAAUUAAUAUGACUAAAUUACAAAUGUAUAAAAGAACAUAGAAAUUUAGAUCAUAUUUUAGUUAAGUUCAAGUAUUAAUAUCAUUAAAAUUAUUUUAAUUUUAGAAUUUAAAAUUUUAAAAAUAUUGAAACUAAAUUUUAAAAUCUGAAAGAUAAAAUUUUAAAAAUUAAAUGUAUAAAUACUAAAUUAUAAAAUAUAUGAAAAGGACAAAAUUUUAGAACAUAUUUUUACUUUAACAAAAUGUUUUUUUUUUCCAACAUAAAUAUGAAAGGGACAAAAACCAAGAGACUACUAAAUAAAAGCCAGUUAAGAGCUUUGUCGGCAUUUAAUAUGUUGGGCUGUUGUUCCAAUUAUUUCAGACAUUUUCAUGGUACCUCUCUUGUAAUUAGGGGUGUAAUCUAGACGAGAAGAGUUUGAGUUAGAUUCGAAAUUUAGAAUAUAAUAUUUAGUUCAAUUUAGUUAAAUAUUUGUUUUUUAAAGAGUUUUUUAAAUUUGAGCUCGAUUCAGUUUAUUUAUUAAUUUUUGUAUUUCAACUCAAAUACGAACUCUAUUCAAUAAAAAUUUAGAGUUAAUAAUAUAAAAAUAUAAAAAGCUCGAUAAGACUUACAAGCCGUUUGAAUUAAAUAUUAUUAAGCUCGAAUUCGACGCAACUGAUAGCUCAAGCUACUCGAGUUCGAGGAACUUGCAGACACCCUUUCUCAUUUAUACCCUUACUUUCGUCCAGUUUAAUUAAUCUUCAACACUAAACUAAACAGCCAAAUCAUAUUUCUAAAUGAAUUUUAAAAAAAAUACAAACCAAAAAAAGCACUCUCUAUAUUUAUAUUUUUAUCAAUUUAAAUUUGAUUUUUUAUUUCCUCUAAAUUCGACUCGACUUUUUAAAAUCAAAUUGCUAUAUUUUUAACAAAAAUAUUGACAAAAUUAUUAUACUUUUAAUAGCAUUGAUAUAACACUAGGUGUGACAAUUUACAUUUAUUUUAUUUACUUUGAUACUUGCGAAGAUAUAUGAAUUGUUGUUAUAAAGGCAGUAAUUCAUGAGUUGGAUUGAGCCAUACUUUCAAAUAUUUUCGUAAAAAAAUUUCUCCAAUCCAGCUUAAUUUCGAUAUUAAGUAAAUUAGCCCCUUUCAAAAAAAUUAAAGCAAUUUAAUCCUUAUCAGUUUCAAAAGUGAACAACUAAGGACAAUUGAUCACAACAUUAAUAUUUUUCAACAAUUUUACAUAAAUUAGACUUGCAUAAUCACAAAUUUAGCUCUCAUAAUAUAUGAAUCUGAUUAUAAUUUAACAAAUUUAACCCCUAACAAUUUUGUAAAUGUGUAGAUGUAGAGGUUAAAUUUGUUGAAUUUUUUGGGAUCAAUACCAAAUUAACAAAAUAUGUAAACAACAAGGGCUAAAUUUGUUAUUAUAUCAAUCAGAAUUGUGCAAAUUGACGAAAGACAUUACCAACAUGAUUAAUUGUCUUUAAUUGCUCACUUUCAAAAUCGAAAUGGAUUAAAUCGCACCGACUUUUUUAAAGAAACUAAUUUACUCAAUUUCAAAAUUAAGAGGAGCUAGAGAAGUCUUUUUUACCCUAAUAUUUUUAUCUAAUUUUAGUUGGUCCAAUUUGAGAUCCUUUUAAAAAGAUGACCACUUUAUAGGAAAACCCCCCUUCAACAAGUCCAUUGUAUGGUCUUCCUUUUUUCAAUUCAAAUACUCUAAAAGAAAAAUGAUAACUACUUUAAUGGCGGCAUUGUAAUUCUCCCUAACUUCAAAGAAAAUGGAAGAAUUAAAUUUUGGGGGAAAAUUUUUCUCAAAUUUCUUAGCUAAUGGUUUUUGGACCAAAAAUAUCUAUGGGUCGGAUCGAGUCUAGUUCGAAUUUUCGAAGAAAAUUAUUCAAAUCCAACCUUCUAAUUAUUUUACCUUUUUUGAAUAUAUUAAUAUAUUAAAUUAUAUUUUUAUAUUAUUUUAAUUGAAUAAUAAUUCGUCUAUUUAUAUUAUUAUCAAAAUAUUUCUAGUUUGUUCCUCAAUUAGUAAAUAAUCCAACUACAUUCGAGUAGACCUACCUAUGGUCAAGCCAAACCUAGUUUUUAAAAAAAUUUCAAGCAUAACCUCAAUUUAAACCUAGUAGACCCAAUUUCAAAAAAAAAAAUUCUAAGCUUAAGCUCGUAUUUGACCUGAUUCGAUCCAAUGGCAAGUUCAAUUGUUACAUAUUAAUUAAAUAUUUUAUAUAUUAAUAUUUAUCUAUUUUAAAUAAAAUUCAAGUCUAACAAAAUUGAUUAAAAUUAAAAAAAAUUUAUUUAAACUCGAUCCAAACCAAACUCAUACUACACAUUAGUGAUUCGAGGAAAAUGCCACAGAAAUACUUUUUAGUAACAAAGUUGAGAUUAUUUUUUAUUUUUUAGAAUAAUAAAAAGUGAUAUUUCAAAUAAAGGAUUCAAUUCAAAUCCGUUAUAGAAAAAAGAGAUUAAUGGCAACCAAUAAAUAUUUCUUUAAAAUUCUAUUAAGAAUUAGGGCUUGAGAAUCUUGAAUAUUUAAUGCAGCCAUUUUAAUAUUUAUUAUUAUACCAAAGCAUUGCCUCAUUUUAUUUUCAUGCAAAAUAUCUUUACUUUUUUUUUUUGAAAUUUAGUCCCUAAAAUUUAUUGUUUUAAAAUCUUGAAAAUGUCAUACUUUUGCUUAUUGAAUGUACUUAAUGUCCUUUCUAUAAUUUUCUAACAAAAGAAGAUAAAAGAAAGUAGGGUAAAUUACACUUGUAGUCAUUUAACUAUUGGUAGGUUUCUUUUUUGAUCAUCUAAUUAUGAAAAGUAAUAAAAUGUUCACCCAAGUAUUUGAUUUUUUUUCUUUCUUCUCACCAACCGUUGAGUAACUGACGAAAAGAUGACGUGUAAGCUUUUAAAAUUGGCAUAAUAGCAACUUCAACCCUUAGCAUUUAUAUAUUAUGUCAAUUUAGUCUCAAUUUUAAAAAAAUUUAACCCUCAACGUUUACACAUUGUGUAAAUUGUUUUUUUUUUCAAUUUUUACUUUUCUUUGUGACUCUUUCACUUAAAAAGCUAAAAAAAUAAAUUUAUCGACUAAAUUUGAUCGAAAAUAUACCAAAAAUCCAAGAUAAUAAUCUUUAUUUUUUUCUCAUUCUUUUCUCGAUGUUACGAGAGAGAGAGAGAGAGAGAGAGAGAGAGAGAGAGACCAAAUUACACAAUGUGUAAAUGUUGAGGGUUAAUUUUUCCGAAUCAAGACUAAAUUGACACAAUGUAUAAGUGUAUAGGGUUAAAGUUGUUAUUUGUCAAUUUUAAAAGCUGUCAAGAUAUCUUUCUGUUAAUAAUUUAACGGUUGGUAACCAGAAAUCUAAUGCCCCUUAACCCUUAUCCGUCGCCAAAACAGGGUUACGGAGCAUUACUAGACAUUCCAGAACAAAUAUGAACAAUCAUAUAAUAAUAUAACAUAAAGUCCCUUUAUUGAGACUUUGAGACCCAAAUCACGAGUUAGAAACAAAUAGGGACUUAAUCGGAAGUCUAGAAAAUUUUUCGUAAAAUUUUAAAAUUUUUCGUAAAAUUUUAAAAUUUUUCUUAAGUACAGGGCCCACACGCCCGUGUGGUAAUACAUGAGCAUUUUGUUUUGAAAAUUAAAAGUUGCAGAGGACACAUGGCCUAUCUACACGCCAUGUAUAACCGUAUGUCUCACACGGUCUGGUCACAAGCCCGUAUGCCCGGCCGUGUGGACUCAAAAUGAGCCUUAUUUAUUAAGUUUACUAACCCUGCAAAUCUUGAACAACGAGCAAUUCAAAAUCCAAUUGUUCAAUCAAUUCAAAACACAUUCAAACACAUCUAAAACAUGUCAAAUAAUCAACCUAAUGACUUAACCAAUGUACUAACAUAGGUAUUUUAGAAAUACUUACUAAUUUAAUUCAUUUAACUUCAUUUAAACCAAUUCAAACUUUAUACGAAAUUUCUACCUAAAAUUUUGCAUAUGUUAAAUUCAUUCAUACUUCAACCAAAACAUGUCAUUUUGUAAUCUCAACUUAACUCAUAAACGUAUACAUAUAAUCAACUAAAAUCAUCUUAUAUCAUCACUUACAACCAUUUCUCAAAAUGGCAUACAUAUGACAACCUAGGUACAUGUCAUUCCCAAAGAAAUAUACUUCACCACUUUGAGUUCGUGAUCGGCUUUGGAUGCUGAGUCAACGAUCUAACUUUAACCUAACCUGCGCACGGAAACAAAUCGUAUGCUGAGUAUAAACUCAGUGGUAUUUCUAUAAUUUGAUUACUUUUAAAACAAAAUAAUUAAACAUGCACAUUUAAUUCAUACAAUUUCCAAAUCCAUUCAAUUAAUCAAUUUUAUUGUCAAUUCAUUUAUUUAUCCCUAUUAACACGAUUCAGAUUUUGGAGGAUACACAGAUCCAACCAAAACAAACCAAUAUGGCACCCCGUGUCUCAUCGGCCAUGUUGAAGUAAAUUGGUACCCAAUACCUCAUCAAAUUUAUCCAAAGUAAUAAUAUGACACCCAGUGUCUCAUCGACUCGUGGUCGAAGUAUCCCUGAACUCUUCCAACCCUAUGGCAUGCCAGCUAUAUCCGACUCAGCCCGGUACAGUUGAUAGGGUUUUCAAUUUCAAUUUCUCAAUUCAAUUUCAAUCAAAAUCCACACCAAUCACAAAUUCUCAUAAUUUCAAUUCAACUAUUUACAUAUGCUUAUAAAAUUCAAUUCCAUUCAAUUCAAUAUCACAAUAUCAAUUACUUACCUGAAUCUACUUACCAUACAAAUUAAGUAAUGAAUUUAACAAUUAAUUAUUAAAUUCAGAUUAUAGAAAUAAAAAUCGUAAUUUCCGAGCUAAUUUUCGUUGACUUUAUCUUUUCCUUUCCUAACUGAGGUCUCCGGCUCAACGUUUUGUACGGAAUUAAAAUAAAUGAAAAUCAUCAAUACAACAAAAUUUAACAUUGAACAUUUCAAUUUAUACACAAAUUUUGCCUAAAUUUCAAUUUAGUCCUUAAAUCAAACUAACUCUUUUUCUUACAAAACUAAUUCCAUAUCUCAAUUCAAUUUCCACUUUAAUCUAAUUUCAACUCCCUAAUUUCACCAUAAAACCAUAAUUUCAAAAUUCUCUCAAUUUAGUCUUAAUUACUUAAAACUUAUGAUUUAUUUUACAAUUCAAUCAUUUUCUCAAUUCUAACUUGAAUUUCUAUCAAUUUAAACCCUAAUUCUUCAAUUUAUUCAACAUGAACAACAUCUAAAAAUUCACUAAUUUUUAAAUUUUCAGCAUAAAUCAGAUAAUAUUUUGUUCUAAGAUUCCAAAAACAUAAAAAUUUCAAGAAAAUGAGCUAAAUUAACUUACCAAUUUGAGUUUGAACCUUGAAAUCCCGAAUUUCCCUUUUUCUUUUUCUUUCUAUUUUCUUUCUUUCUUUUUCGUGCCUUCCUCUGUUCUUGUUCUUCUUUUCCUUUUGUUUCUUUAUUUAUUUAUUUCAUGUUUCAUUUUAAUUAUAAUAAUAUAAUAAUAUUUACUUAAAUUAUAAGUUUAAUUUAUAUUUAAAUAUAUGUAUAUUAUUUAUACACAUGGAAAUUAUUUUUACCAUGUCAAUUUAUGGUUUAAUUGCUUAUUUAGUCUCUUGACUUUUCUCCAUUCUAUAAUUCAACUUUUAUCCUAUAUUCAAUCUAGUCUACCUAAUUUUUCUUAAUUCAAGCUAAUUCACCUAGCCAAAACCUAAUUAACCACACAACUAACUUCGUAAAUAUUUUUAAUAAAUAUUUACGAAUCUGGUUUACAAAAACGGAGACCCGAGAAUAUACUUUCUGAUAACCAUAAAUUUUGGGUCGUUACAUUUCUCCCCCACUUAAUAAAUUUUGUCCUUGAAAUUUACCUGAAAAUAGGUAGGGGUACUGAGAUCUCAGAGUUUCUUCCAGUUCCCAAGUUGCUUCUUCAAUACUAUGACUUCGCCACAACACCUUCACUAAGGGAACUCGUUUAUUUCAUAACUCUUUCAUCUCUCAAGCUAAUAUCUCAACUGGUUCCUCUUCAUAUGAUAACUUAAGUCGGAUUUCAAUAUCUUCUAUCAAAAUAACAUAAGAGGGAUCUGAUCUGUAUCUUCUGAGCAUGGAUACAUGAAAAACAUCAUGAAUCUUCUGUAAUUUUAGAGGCAAAGCUAAACAAUAGGCUACUAAUUCAACUCUUUCCACAAUCUCAUAUGGCUCAAUAAAACGAGGACUCAAUUUCCCUUCCUUUCGACCAAAUCUCAAGAUUUUCUUCCAAGGUGAAACUUUAAGAAAUACCUUAUCACCAACAGAAUACUCAAUGUAUUGACAUUUCAAAUCUGCAUACAACUUUUGUCUGUAUAAAGCUGCCUUCAAUCUAUCUCGAAUCUUCUUAACAAUGUGCUCCAUUUCUUGAAUUAACUCUGGCCCAAUCAUUUUUCUUUCAUUCAAUUCCAUCCAACAAACAGGUGAUCAACAUCUACAACCAUAUAGAGCUUCAUACAGAGCCAUUUGAAUACUUGAUUGGAAACUAUAAUUAUAUACAAAUUCAGCUAACGAUAAAUAAUAUUCUCAACCUGAUUCAAAAUCAAUGACACAAGCACGAAGCAUAUCUUCCAAAAUCUGAAUAACUCUCUCAGAUUGCCCAUCAGUCUGCAGAUGGAAAGCUGUACUAAAGUUGAGUCGAGUACCAAGUAAUUCAUGCAACUGUCUCCAAAAUCUUGAUAUGAAUCGUGGAUCCCGAUCAGAGAUUACUGAUAUAGGAAAACCAAGAAAUCUUACAAUUUCUCGAAUAUAAACUUCAGUAAGUUUCUGGAGUGACCAAUCAGUUAUGACAGCUAUGAAGUGAGCCGAUUUUGUAAGCUAAUCAACAAUCACCCAAAUAGCAAUUUUCUUAUUUGCUGACAAUGGUAACCCCGUUACAAAAUCCAUCAUAAUACAAUCUCAUUUCCAUUCAGGAAUAUUAAUAGGAUGAAGUAAUCCAGUAGGAACCUGAUGUUCUGCCUUAACUCGUUGACAUGUCAAGCAUUUAGCCACGUACUCAACUAUAUCUUUUUUCAUACCUGACCAUCAAUAAGAUUCUCGUAGCUUACAGUACAUUUUCAUUCCUUCGGGAUACAUUGCAAAAGGAUUGUCAUGUGCUUCACAAAGUAUGAACUCUUUCAAUUAAAAACAACUGGAACACAAAUCCGAUUGCGAAAUCUCAGACAAUCAUGUUCAUCAAUGCUGAAAUUCUCUAACAUACCAUUCUGAACCAUUUCUCUUUUUUUCAUCAACUUGUCAUCUUCUAACUGUGCUGACCUGAUCUAAUCAAACAUCAUCGUUUUAACUUUUAAUUCAGCCAAUAAGUUUCCAUCAUCAUUGAUACUAAGUUGAGCAAACAUUACUCGUAAUUCAAUCGCUACCUUUCUACUUAAUGCAUCAGCUACAACAUUUGUCUUUCCCGGGUGAUAAUCAAUAACACAAUCAUAAUAUUUUAAAAGCUCUAUCUACCGACGUUGUCUCAGAUUUAACUAUUUUAGAGAUAAAAAGAUACUUAAGACUUUUACAAUAGGUAUAAAUAUAGCAUUUCUCACCGUACAAGUAAUGUCUCAAUAUCUUUAGUGUAAAAAUAACGGCAGCUAGUUCCAGAUCGUACGUCGAGUAAUUACGUUUAGGUGGUUUCAAUUGACGAGAUGCAUAAGCUAUCACAUUUCCAUCAUACAUCAAAACACACCCGAGACCAUUCAAAGAAGCAUCACUAUAAAUAACAAAAUCCUUUUCCGAUUUUGGUAAUGUCAAAACUGGUGCUUCAGUUAACAUUUGUUUUAAUUUCUCAAAACUUUUCUAGCACUGAUCAUCCCAGAAAAAUGGAGUAUUCUUUUACAACAAAUUUGUCAUUGGAAAAGCUAUCUUUGAAAAUCCAUUUACCAAUUUUUGGUAGUAACUAGCCAAUCCCAAAAAACUACGUACCUCUGAUACACUUCACGGCGCUUUCCACUGAACUAUUGCUUCAAUUUUCUUUGGAUCAACUCUAAUUCCAUAUGCCGAUACCACAUGUCUCAAAACACAACUUCUAAUAGCCAGAAUUCACAUUUGCUAAGCUUUCCAUACUGUUUCUCCCAUAAUAUUUGCAAAACAAUUCUGAGGUGCUGCUCAUAUAUAGAUUUAGACUUUGAAUAGACCAGAAUAUCAUCAAUGUAAACCGCCACAAACUAAUCCAGGUAUAGUUGAAAAAUACGGUUCAUAAGAUUCAUAAAAGCAACUGGAUCAUUUGUUAAUCCAAAAGGCAUUACUAAAAAUUCAUAAUGGUCAUACUGUGUACGAAAUGCUAUCUUCGGUACAUCACUUUCUUUUACUUUCAACUGGUAGUAACUCGAUCUCAAAUUAAUCCUCGAAAACACAGAAGCUCCUUUCAACUGGUCAAAUAGAUCAUCAAUACGAGGUAAAGGGUAUUGAUUCUUAAUUUUCACCUUAUUCAAUUACCGAUAAUUUAUACACAACCGCGUUGAACUGUCUUUCUUUUUAACAAACAACACUGGAGCUCCCUAAGGUGAAAUACUAGGUCGUAUAAAUCCUCAAUCCAGUAAAUCCUAAAACUACACUUUUAAUUCUUUUAGCUUGGUAGGCGACAUACGAUAUGGGGGUAUUGAUAUUGGAGCUGUACCAAGAUAAACUUCUAUUGCAAAUUCGACUUCCUGAUCUGGUGGUAAUCCCGACAAUUCUUUAGGAAAAAACAUCAGGAAAUUCACAAACAGUUCUGAUUUUACUGCAUUGACUUUCAACAGAAUCUUAAUUAAUAACAUAUGCCAAAAAAGCUACACAACCCUGAUGAAGAAGUUUAUUAGCCUGAAUUGUUGAAAUAAUAUGAGUUGACCCAUUGCUUCGAAUACCAUUUACCUCAAUUUUGUCACCACUUUUACUCUGAACAAUAAACUUCUUUUUACAACAGUCCAAAUUUACCCCAUGCUCAGUAAGCCAAUCCAUUCCCAGAAUUAUAUCAAAAUCGCCAUAUUGUAAUAUUAACAACUCAACAAGAAAAAUUAUGUUUUGUAUCAUUAGAUGAUACUUCUUACACACCUGAUCCACUCACACAGUUUGCCCCAAUGGACUAGACACUGCUAUUGAUACUCUAGAUGUUUCAAAUUUUAAAUUUCCCGACUCAACCAAUUUUGUAUUAACAUAUGAAUGUGAAGAUCCCAGAUCUAUUAAAGCAUAAACAGGUUCUGAAUGCAAAAAAAAUAUACCUGUCACCACAUCAUGUGCAUCACCCUUUUCAUGGAUCCGUACAACAUAUACUCAAGCUGGUACUCUGGCUUCUGAUUGUUGAGAAGCAACAUCACUUCCUCUUCUAGCACCACAUCUGGAAAAUGAACCACUUCUAUUUGAUCCUCAACCUCUAAAAGUAGGCACUAAUCUCUGAGAUAUAACAGGUGUAGCAUUCUCAUUUUUUGGCCAAUCCAUAAUAAAAUGCUCUGUCGAUCCACAAAGGAAACACCCUCUAGUCAAUUUUCAGCAUUCACCUCUAUGUUUUUUCCCACAAUGUUCACAAUUCGAAAUUUCAAUAUCCCAUGAUGGACUUCGUACACUACCAGUAGAAACUGUCAUCUAUCUUUCAUGAUUUCUAUCAUCUCUAUCUGAUUUGAAACUCGAUCUCCAACUACCUCGAGAUUUUUUGAUCUUUUAGGUUGCAAAUUCGAACUAGUAGCUCCGAAACGUUUCCCAAAUGGAUGAAUAUUUUCAAAAUUUUUUUCAAGACCCAGUACUUGUUCAACCAUUUUUGCUCUCUCAACCAAAUCCACAAAUUUAAUGAUUCUGUGAUAUACCAAUUGCACCCUUAAUUCAUCAUGUAAACCCCGUAGAAACCUCUUACAAUUGUUAGUUUCGGUUGGUAUAAAUUCAACUGCAUAUUUACUGAUUCGUGAAAAUUCUCGUUCAUAAUCAACUACAGACAUAUUACCUUAUUUUAGCAUCAAAAACUCAUGUUUUCUAUCUUCAAUGUAUAAUUCACCCACAUACUUCUUCUUAAAUUCUCUUUAAAAGAAAUCCCAGUUUAUCUGUUCUGUUAGUACAUUUCGAGUUACUAACUCCUACCAUACAUAAGCUUCCCCUUGUAAUAAAGAAACAGCACACAAUAAACUUUCCCUGGGAGUGCAUUCAAGUUGUUGCAGAAUUCUUUUUGUAAACUCCAUCCAACUUUCAGUAGUAGAUUGAUCAACUCCCUUUAACCCCAGAAAUUUAGUGGCACCAUACUUACGCAGUUCUUUAAUUGAGGCUCGUCGAGUAAUAGGGGCAGACGUCACAAUAGGUACAGUUCCUGCUAAUCGUUGAAGGGCAUCAGCUAUAACCCUAAGUAAGUGCGAAUCAUAUCUCUCUCUAGUAUUACCCCAUUCAAUAUUAGGUGGUUAAUUUCUUACUGAAUUUACACGCGGUAUUACUGACUUGGUUUUAUCUCUUUCAUAUGAUUCAUCAUCUCCAGUAUACAUUUAUUGAUCAGUAUCAACAAUAUAUUCAUCUGACAUCUUUAACUACAAAACAUAAAUACACAAAUAUAUCAGCAUCCAAUCUCGACUUUGUAACACCCCAAAAAUGUUCUUUUUGGUUUUAUGAAAUUGUGACACACAAGUGUGUAUCUGCUUCAGUGGUUAAGUAUUUUGGGGGUGUGUUUGAGGUCCUAAGUUCAAGACAUGACUUAUAAAUUUUAGUAUUUUUAUGAAUAAAACCCAAUCUUUGGUUGUUAGGCUUUUAAAUAAAAGAUGGUAAGUAAUUGACAGAAUGGGCUUGCUAGUCUGGUGGUAAAGUGGAGUGUUGGUGUGUUUGGGGUCCUAUGUUUGAAUCCCUGCGUGAGCAUGGAAGAUAUUUUUGCUCCAAUUUUCUGCUGGGGAUGUGUAAAACUGGGUUUCUGAGUAGUUGGAGGUUAGUGGGAGUAGUGGUGAGAUAAUUAGGGGAUUUGGGGAUUCUAUCAAUUUUUUUUGCUAAUUUCGGUUCAUUCAAAAUUCCAUUCUCUUUUCCCCAAAAUUUCUUUCAUCGUUCUGACAUUUAUUCAUCCAUUUUCUGCCGAAUUUCACUGUUUCCUCCCUCUUUUCUUUUGAUUUCUUUUAUUCCCUCAUUGUGUUUGACGAUUGAACUCACGCGGUUCGAUAAGUAUUGGUUAAGAGGUUUGUUUCUUUUGUUAACUUUCCUCUAAAGUGUAUUGUUUAUGUCAUUUAAGAGAGGAUUCAAGGGCUCGUAAUCACCCAUUGGAGUGUUAGUUUGUGUGGGAACUGCUGAUCUUCAACUUAAAGUAAGGAUUGGCCAUUUUUUUAGUAAAAACCUCGAUUCGAGUUUGAUUCUAGAUCGCAUUAUAAUGGAUUAAAUUAGUGUUAUUUGUUCAACUAUAGGUUUUGGAGUGCUCAGGAACUGUUUUUGCAUAGAUAGAAACCAGGUGUGUACCCGAAAACGUAAAAAAUGAGGUUCCAAUAAAAGCCGAAAAUAAUUCUAUCGACGUUACACGGCCGUGUGGUACACCGUGUGAUGGAACAUAGGCAUGUGAUCGUAGGCUGUGUGCGACACACGGUCUAAACCAAUUUGGGUCGUAUGGGCCACAGGGGCAGACCACAUGAGCGUGUGAGCCCAUGUUUCUGAAAAGUUGUUUAAGGUUACACGGGUCGCCUAAGUCUACUGUGGACCUACUGAAGGGUCGGUAAGCGCUACUUAGACCCUUAUAUGAGUGACCUGUCUAUCUGAUUUUUGUAUCGAGUAUGAAUUAUGAUAUACGAAUGUAUGUACCGUAAUUGUAUAAUAAUAUGACUUUUUUUUUGGUAUGUUGCGUUGUAUCGGGGGUGGGUUAUUGAUGAUAUUUGGAGGAAGUGUCUGAAAGGCUAUUAAGCCUGUUAUCUAGCAGCUCUACUGCAAAUUUCUGAUUAUUGUGCCGCAUUUCGAUACAGUAUGGUGUGUAGGGAUGGGUGAGUCGAUUUAAUCCCCACAUUGUGUGUAGGGAUAGACGGAGAUGGUGUGUAGAGGCUUGUAGGUAGGAUUCUGAUUUCUGCUAUUGCAUAUUGUAUCUAAAAUGGGCCACGAUCCUAAAUUAUAUCUGAGACUAUAUCCGAAUGGGCUAAAGCCCAAAUUGAAUCUGUAAUGGGCUUAAGCCUAGUCUGUAUUUGACUAUGUUCUGAUGUGUUUCUGAUUGCAUGUUUUCUGUGGGGAUUACACGCUAAGUAGCAAAAACUCACCCUUUCUGUUCAAUCUGUACAGGUAAUCCUCAGACUUGACGGAUCAGUGCAACGGAGGACUCGACGGUGGCCACACAUAAAUUUUAUGCUAUUUCUGUUAAUUUCAGAUUUUAUUACUUAUUUGGGAGUUUGAUGUAACUUAUGGAAUUUGGACUGUCUCGCUUUAAAUUUUCGGUUUCUUAGUUGGUUUUAUGAUUAUUACUGCUAGGCAUGAUAAAACUCAUUUUUUCACUAAGAUCAAACGGUUUUUCUAGAAUAAAUAUUUUUUUCAAAGCUUCCGCUA
rnacentral:lncRNA from 1 species